AUGUUGCCGGCUGGUGUCAAGUUCGAUCCCACGAAUCAGGAGCUGAUCGAGCACCUUGAGGCCAAAGUGAGUGCUGACAGCGCGAGAUCUCACCCUCUCAUCGGUUUGUUCGUACCAACCAUCGACAGCGAGCACGGCAUAUGCUACACCCAUCCUGAGAAACUUCCAGGUAUCACAUUGAGUGGCCUAAGCAAGCAUUUCUUCCAGUGCAAUUCCAGGAUGUUUAAAAGGGGCACGUGGACGCAUCGCAAGAUACAGUCGGAGUGCGGCAUGCACGCGAUGUGGCACAAGGCCGGCAAUACCUUGCCCGUGAUGGUCAACGGCCGGCAGACGGGCAGCAAAAAGGUUCUGGUGCUGCACACCAACAAGAACUACAACUAG
rnacentral:rRNA from 1 species